GACGAACGCUGGCGGCGUGCUUAACACAUGCAAGUCGAACGGAAAGGCCCCUUUGGGGGUCCUCGAGUGGCGAACGGGUGCGUAACACGUGAGUAACCUGCCCUUGACUUCGGGAUAACUUCAGGAAACUGGGGCUAAUACCGGAUAGGAAUCCUUGCUGCAUGGUGGGGGUUGGAAAGCUUCGGCGGUUUUGGAUGGACUCGCGGCUUAUCAGCUUGUUGGUGGGGUAGUGGCUUACCAAGGCUUUGACGGGUAGCCGGCCUGAGAGUGCGACCGGCCACAUUGGGACUGAGAUACGGCCCAGACUCCUACGGGAGGAAGCAGGGGGGAAGAUUGCACAAUGGGCGGAAGCCUGAUGCAGCAACGCCGCGUGCGGGAUGACGGCCUUCGGGUUGUAAACCGCUUUCAGCAGGGGCGAAGCUUGUGGUGACGGUACCUGCAGAAGAAGCACCGGCUAACUACGUG
rnacentral:rRNA from 1 species